rnacentral:rRNA from 1 species
AGUGAACGCUGGCGGUAGGCCUAACACAUGCAAGUCGAACGGCAGCACAGUAAGAGCUUGCUCUUACGGGUGGCGAGUGGCGGACGGGUGAGGAAUACAUCGGAAUCUACUUUUUCGUGGGGGAUAACGUAGGGAAACUUACGCUAAUACCGCAUACGACCUACGGGUGAAAGCAGGGGAUCUUCGGACCUUGCGCGAUAGAAUGAGCCGAUGUCGGAUUAGCUAGUUGGCGGGGUAAAGGCCCACCAAGGCGACGAUCCGUAGCUGGUCUGAGAGGAUGAUCAGCCACACUGGAACUGAGACACGGUCCAGACUCCUACGGGAGGCAGCAGUGGGGAAUAUUGGACAAUGGGCGCAAGCCUGAUCCAGCCAUACCGCGUGGGUGAAGAAGGCCUUCGGGUUGUAAAGCCCUUUUGUUGGGAAAGAAAAGCAGCAGGUUAAUACCCCGCUGUUCUGACGGUACCCAAAGAAUAAGCGCCGGCUAACUUCGUG